GUUGCUUCUUGGAAUCUGAAUAGUUGAACUCUCUUCAAAUUUUAAAAUAGAGAAGUUCAUGUAUUUAGAAGCAUAAAUCAAAUUGUGAACCAGUAUUAAACAGCAUGAUGCAUUUUACUUUGCACCAUUGUUACCUGUCUUCUGGUAUAUUU